AGUUUGAUCCUGGCUCAGGAUGAACGCUAGCUACAGGCUUAACACAUGCAAGUCGAGGGGCAGCAUUGGAGUAGCAAUACUUCAGAUGGCGACCGGCGCACGGGUGAGUAACACGUAUCCAACCUGCCGCUUACUCGGGGAUAGCCUUUCGAAAGAAAGAUUAAUACCCGAUGGUAUAAAGAGUUCGCAUGUUCUCUUUAUUAAAGAAUUUCGGUAAGCGAUGGGGAUGCGUUCCAUUAGAUAGUUGGCGGGGUAACGGCCCACCAAGUCUACGAUGGAUAGGGGUUCUGAGAGGAAGGUCCCCCACAUUGGAACUGAGACACGGUCCAAACUCCUACGGGAGGCAGCAGUGAGGAAUAUUGGUCAAUGGGCGAGAGCCUGAACCAGCCAAGUAGCGUGAAGGAUGACUGCCCUAUGGGUUGUAAACUUCUUUUAUAAGGGAAUAAAGUGAGGGACGUGUCCCUUUUUGUAUGUACCUUAUGAAUAAGGAUCGGCUAACUCCGUGCCAGCAGCCGCGGUAAUACGGAGGAUCCAAGCGUUAUCCGGAUUUAUUGGGUUUAAAGGGAGCGUAGGUUGACAUAUAAGUCAGCUGUGAAAGUUUACGGCUCAACCGUGAAAUUGCAGUUGAUACUGUAUGUCUUGAGUGUACAAGAGGUGGGCGGAAUUCGUGGUGUAGCGGUGAAAUGCUUAGAUAUCACGAAGAACUCCAAUUGCGAAGGCAGCUCACUGGGGUACAACUGACACUGAGGCUCGAAAGUGUGGGUAUCAAACAGGAUUAGAUACCCUGGUAGUCCACACAGUAAACGAUGAAUACUCGCUGUUUGCGAUAUACAGUAAGCGGCCAAGCGAAAGCAUUAAGUAUUCCACCUGGGGAGUACGCCGGCAACGGUGAAACUCAAAGGAAUUGACGGGGGCCCGCACAAGCGGAGGAACAUGUGGUUUAAUUCGAUGAUACGCGAGGAACCUUACCCGGGCUUGAAUUGCAGAGGAACAUAGUUGAAAGAUUAUGGCCGCAAGGUCUCUGUGAAGGUGCUGCAUGGUUGUCGUCAGCUCGUGCCGUGAGGUGUCGGCUUAAGUGCCAUAACGAGCGCAACCCUUAUCAUUAGUUACUAACAGGUCAUGCUGAGGACUCUAGUGAGACUGCCGUCGUAAGAUGUGAGGAAGGUGG
rnacentral:rRNA from 1 species